rnacentral:rRNA from 1 species
UACGAAGGGGGCUAGCGUUGUUCGGAAUUACUGGGCGUAAAGCGCACGUAGGCGGGUCGUUAAGUCAGGGGUGAAAUCCCAGAGCUCAACUCUGGAACUGCCUUUGAUACUGAGGAGCUCGAGUCCGGGAGAGGUGAGUGGAACUGCGAGUGUAGAGGUGAAAUUCGUAGAUAUUCGCAAGAACACCAGUGGCGAAGGCGGCUUACUGGUCCGGUUCUGACGCUGAGGCGCGAAAGCGUGGGGAGCAAACAGG